GCUUACGGCCAUACCAGCCUGGGUACGCCCGAUCUCGUCUGAUCUCGGAAGCUAAGCAGGGUCGUGCCUGCUUAGUACUUGGAUGGGAGACCGCCUGGGAAAACCAUGUGCUGUAAGCA
rnacentral:rRNA from 1 species